rnacentral:rRNA from 1 species
GAUAUCACCAAGAAUACCCAUUGCGAGGCGAUCUGCUGGAACUCAACUGACGCUAAGGCGCGAAAGCGUGGGGAGCAAACAGGAUUAGAUACCCUUGGUAGUCCACGCCCCUAAACGAUGUACACUAGUUGUUGGGGUGCUAGUCAUCUCAGUAAUGCAGCUAACGCAUUAAGUGUACCGCCUGGGGAGUACGGUCGCAAGAUUAAAACUCAAAGGAAUAGACGGGGACCCGCACAAGCGGUGGAGCAUGUGGUUUAAUUCGAAGAUACGCGAAGAACCUUACCUGGGCUUGAUAUCCUAAGAACCUUUUAGAGAUAAGAGGGUGCUAGCUUGCUAGAACUUAGAGACAGGUGCUGCACGGCUGUCGUCAGCUCGUGUCGUGAGAUGUUGGGUUAAGUCCCGCAACGAGCGCAACCCACGUAUUUAGUUGCUAACGGUUCGGCCGAGCACUCUAAAUAGACUGCCUUCGUAAGGAGGAGGAAGGUGUGGACGACGUCAAGUCAUCAUGGCCCUUAUGCCCAGGGCGACACACGUGCUACAAUGGCAUAUACAAUGAGACGCAAUACCGCGAGGUGGAGCAAAUCUAUAAAAUAUGUCCCAGUUCGGAUUGUUCUCUGCAACUCGAGAGCAUGAAGCCGGAAUCGCUAGUAAUCGUAGAUCAGCCAUGCUACGGUGAAUACGUUCCCGGGUCUUGUACUCACCGCCCGUCACACCAUGGGAGUUGAUUUCACUCGAAGCCGGAAUACUAAAC